rnacentral:lncRNA from 1 species
GUGUAAUAGCCUAAAAUGAUUAGAUAAAGUGUUAUUUGAGGAAGAAUUAGUUCAAUUAAAGUGUUAAUUGAGUAGGGACUAAAUUGUAAAAAUUAUAAAUUUUGGGGUAAAAGUGUAAUUUCAAAAAUUGAAGGGCAUAAAUUGAGAAGUGAAUUAGUAUUGAAUUAGAUGCUAAUGAAUGAACAAUUUUAUAUUAUAGAUCGAGAAUCCGAAGAUAAACGCGGAAAAGAGAAAAUAUCAAACUAGUCCUUAAACUUUUACAACUCCUACAAAUUGGCCCAUGUAAGUUCAUACGGCUGAACUUUUAUGAUUAAUUGUUAAUGUGGGAAUGAUUUAAUGUAUUAAUUCGUGUAUUGUUAAAUUAUGAUUAUUGUAAAAAUGUGAAAAUCAAAUUGUAAGUUCAAAUUAAGGGAUACAUAGGAUUGAGUACGUACGUUCAGUAACCAGUGAUGAAUUGACGAAUAAGUCCAUGGUGGAUCCAUGGAAAAGUGUGGAACGUAGGUAUGGUAAUUCAGUAAAGAAAACCAUACUGAGUUGUGGAACGUAGGUAUGGUAUUUCAGUGAAGAAAACCAUACUGAGUUGUGAAACGUAGGUAUGGUAUUUCAGUAACGAAAACCAUACAGAGUUGUGAAAAGUAGGUAUGGUAUUUUAGUGAAGAAAACCAUACUGAGUUAUAGCAUUGUAAAGGAUUCAAACGUAUCGUGGCACCGGGCAAACGAUGUACUCAAAUUCGUAAGAUGAUCAUUAAUUUGACAAGUGUUUGUAAGUGCAAUUGAAGCUAAAUGUUGGAAUAUAAGUUGAUAUUUGAUAUUAAGCUCGAUUGAGUAAAUUCAUUAUUUGAAAUUGUGGUUGGCAGGAAAUGUUGUAUUAUACUUGUUUAUUAUAAUUGUUAGUGAAAUUUUGGUGAGAUUUUAUUAUGAGCUUAUGAACUUACUAAGCUUUCUGUAAGCUUACUUGUGUGUGUUUAUUGUUUCUUGUAGAUUGAUGUAUAUAUAUAUAUAUGUUCAGAGGAUCGAAUGUACAUCAAGGAUCACACUAUCCAGAUUUACUCCGGUAGAUUUUGUUAAACAUCUUUUUUAUUUAUAUGGCAUGUAUAGGGGUUGAAGUAAUAAAGUAAUAGUAUGAAUGAUUAAAUAUGCAAAGUAAAUUUGAAUGUGAUGGUUGUGGUAGAUAUGGAAAUAUACAUGUUUUAGCUUGAAAUGGUUGAUUGUGUUUAAGUUCGGUAGUGCCUCGUACCCUGUUCCGGCGUCGAACAUGGGUAAGGGGUGUUACAAUUUUCGUCCACACAAUCUACCUUAUACGAAGACCUAGGACGUGUCGAAGACCUAAUUUAUAUUAUUAAAGUAUUUCAAUUUAUUUUCUUUUGCAUUUGGUUUAAUUAUUUAUUCCAAUCAAUCAAUUUG